rnacentral:sRNA from 1 species
AUAAGGAUAAAAUGAGUGCUACUGGCAACGAUUUUAUCCCCGAACCUUCAGGUUUCCCCAGACGGCGACGUAACGGUGUUUCUUCUGGCGGCUUGAAGUAUGACGGGGAUAAACGUAAUGUUUAUCCACUAGCAGUUGCUUAACGAAUCCGAAUCUCACAUUAUCAGGGGUGUAAAAAUGGAAACAACCAAGCCUUCUUUCCAGGACGUGCUGGAGUUUGUUCGUCUGUUCCGUCGCAAAAAUAAACUGCAGCGUGAAAUUCAGGACAUUGAGAAGAAGAUCCGUGACAACCAGAAGCGUGUGCUG